rnacentral:rRNA from 1 species
UACGGAGGGUGCAAGCGUUAAUCGGAAUUACUGGGCGUAAAGCGCACGCAGGUGGCUGAGAAAGUCGAUUGUGAAAGCCCUGGGCUUAACCUGGGAAUUGCAGUCGAAACUACUCGGCUAGAGUAUGGGAGAGGGUAGUGGAAUUCCCGGUGUAGCGGUGAAAUGCGUAGAUAUCGGGAGGAACAUCAGUGGCGAAGGCGGCUACCUGGCCCAAUACUGACACUCAGGUGCGAAAGCGUGGGGAGCAAACAGG